AGGGAGCGGGGUGGGAAGGGAGCGGGAGUGGAGUGGGACGGGAGCGGGAGUGAAGCACAGCUUUAAAAGAAACCUAAAGAUUUGAGUUCUGGGCGAGCUGUGUUGAGAUGAGUUGGGAUAGGAAGGAUUCGGGCCCAGCGAGAGUUAAUUAAAAUAGUUCCGAGAGCUGGACCUGAAAGGGGUUUCAAGGUGUCAGUAAUUGAUUAGAGCAGAACCAUGGAUCAGCUGUGUAGGGAACGAGGACAAUUCCCAGUUUUCCCCCUCGGUGGGAACCCGGCCAAAAGUCACGCAAGAGGGAAUUUGGAGGCCACUGAAGUAAUUAGGAUUGUUAAAGCUCAGAAAGGCAAAAAGAUCGAAGUGAGGAAGAUGAGUUACUUCAUCUUUUUUUUUUGGACCACCGACCCAAUUCGAGACCACCGACCCAAUUCAGAGCACGCAUUAAUGACAUUUGAGCUCAUUUGCAUACGAAGCGGAGAACGGGAGGUGUUGAUGUUAUGAAUAUGCAUUUGUAUUUUGGAUAUUCAUAAUUUUGGUAAAUAAAAAGCUUUGUGUUUGCUUGCA